AUGUUCCAGACUGCACAAGGAAAAUGGGACAGAACUGGAACCAGAACUCAGCUCUACUUACGCCUGCUAUCACGUUCCUUCCUUCCUUCCUUCAUCUCUGGCAUCCGUGGCAUCUCCGUCUCUGACCCCGAUACGCAUUCCCUCUCACUGGUCUGCCUUGUUCAGGGCACCCUGGUGGCAGCACCCUCCACUCCUCUCCCUGCACGCCAUUCUGGUCCAUGCGCCGCAUCACCUGCAGCAUGGAAAUAUCUAGAACCAUUCUGCGGCCCCGCAAGCUGACUGCGUCUACAACCCUUUCUCCAUCGAACACUGCAGUCUCUCCAUCCCCUACACCACACUGGGAGAUUCGUCACAGCAGUCGGCCGUACAAAUAAGUCCUCCUUGGAGCCACUCCCGUUGAAGAAAGCAUUUCUCUUUCUUACAGUGAACGUUUGUUCUCCAAACCGUCAUGGCGUCGCUCUUCCUCUUCCGGCGGGCGGCGUGCGGAAGUGGGUGGGGCCGGGCGUGGCGUCCUGGCCCCGACGCGGGGCGUGGAACUCGGCUCUCGGCCUGGGCGCUCAGGGGGCGGCGUGAGCGAAGGGGCCGCUGCGCUCCUCCGGGUCUCAUGGUGACCUGGCCUGCGGGGCUGCCCAUGGCUUUGGGAUCCGCUCUCCACUCCCACUGCCAAGGGUUUUAAAUGGCAAUUACGUUGGGGUCUAGACUUCCCUGGUAGCUCCUUCAGUAAAGAAUCUGCCUGCAGUGCAGGAGACCCUGGUUGGAUCGGUGGCAGGGAAGAUCUCCUGGAGAGGGAAAUGUCAGCCCACUCCAGCAUUCUUGACUGGAAAAUUCCAUGGACAGAGGAACCUGGUGGGCGACAGCCCACGGGGUAGCAAGCAUCGGACACGACUUAGCGACUAAACCGCCACAUUAUGCUGGGAUAAUGUCCUAAAAGUAAUGCGUCAUUUCAUUCUUCAGUUUUUAAGUGGAAAUUAACUAUGACUUAUAAAAGGACUAUAAAGUGAAAGAAAAGUCGCUCAUGGACUGUGGCCUACCAGGCUCUUCCAUCCAUGGGAUUUUCCAGGCGAGAAUACUGGAGUGGGUUGCCACUUCCUUCUCCAGGAGAUCUUCCUGACCCAGGGAUUGAACCUGGGUCACACGCAUCUGAGCCACCGGGGAAGUCCCUAUAAAAGUCCCUAUAAAAGGACUAUGCUGCUAAGUCACUUCAGUCGUGUCCGACUCUGCGACCCCAGAGACGGCAGCCCACCAGGCUCCUCCGUCCCUGGGAUUCUCCAGGCAAGAACACUGGAGUGGGUUGCCAUUUCCUUCUCCGAUGCAUGAAAGUGAAAGUGAAGUGGCUCAGUCGUGUCCGACUCUUAGCGACCCCAUGGACUGCAGCCCACCAGGCUCCUACAUCCAUGGGAUUUUCCAGGCAAGAGUACUGGAGUCGGGUGCCACUGCAUUCUCCAUAAAAGGACUAUGGACGGGUUUUAACUAGUAAGUGCAGUUAGCCGUGGAAAACUAUGUUGGGUUCUAAGCAAGGCCUGUCUUGUACAGUCAUUUCUUUAUUGGAUUGUCGGAAGAUUUUAGCACAAUAAUUUUUGUGACAUUAUGACUGAACCCAAUUUUGAUAAGACUUAUACCAUAAUUUAUGUCUUCAGUUCAACUUGUAUAAAUUGAUAAGACUUACACCAUAA
ensembl:lincRNA